ACGCAGCGCGGUUGCUGGGCACCUCGACUAUCACCUGACCGUAGUAAUAUCUCCCGCUACGCGCGUUGUGACCAAUGCUGCAUACAGGAGAUGAGGGAGGACGGCCAGACACCUGGAAGCCGGAAAAUGAUUCUUCACGGAAAAAUCCAGCAAAGCCUACUCCUUCUGGAUGAAGUUCAGAGUCACAUCUUCAAAGACCACCAAGCCGUGACAUAUCCCAGAUAUGUGUAGAGGAGGACAGGUGAAAGGCAGGAUUGGGAACCCCACAGACCGCAGCUCCUCCCAGGAGAACCCCACACAUGAGUCUGGAUCCUCGCCAUGAUCCUCCCGUGGCCCCCACACAAUCUGGGGAGACGCGGGGCCGCGGGCACUGCGCUGCCGAGAGGGCUCCGGACUGAGGCUGCAGUUGCUGCGCAGGGACGGCUCAGGAUGCCCGGGGUCCCGGCUGCUGGCCCAGCCCCACCCUGUGGCCGAGGGGACCCAGGGACGAGCUGCGCCAGGGAGACUCGGGUCCGCAGACCCCGGAAUCGCUGCUGACAGGCCCGGGUCCCACCACAGCAGGUCCCAACCAGCCCCUCCUCCCACCCGGCCUUGCACACUCACCAUUUCCCGGCUCCCAGGUGUCCCGGGUCCUCCCUUGGCUCCGGAGAUCAGUGCUGGUCACCACCGGACAGAAGCUGUGGUGGAGCCACCUCGGCCUCUGGAAGGCUGAAUUCAGUGGGUUAGGGGAACAGGAGCCCCUUAGACUUGCGGAGCUUGGCCCCACCCUCCUGGCGGAGCGCCUGAUUGGAUAAUUUACACGACCCCGCCCAGUACCCCUAGGAUAGGAAUCAAGCCCCACCCCCUAGGCCCGGGUUUCAGGAGAAGCCACGGAAAACUCGGAAGUGUGGAGCAGGAUUGACAGGUUCUAGCAACAGCCCUCCCACCCCCCCGCCCAGGCCAGGCUUCCUUCUGGAGCUUGGACGUGACCCCACACUGGGGACAUUUGCAUUUAAGAAAAACUUGGCUCCAGGCUUUCCACAGUGGGCCCUGGCAUCUUCCUAUACUCACUGGGCCCUUUCUGUUUCUUCCUUCUGGACGGGGGUUCACAAGUGUGAGCAGGCAGUUCCACACUCCGUGUCCAAUUGAGCCAGUACCUUUGCUGGAAGCUACUGGGCUGGAACAGGAGGGAGAGCCCAGAUGUCUUCCAGGGAUCAGGAAUUUGGGAUAAGCGGCUGGUGGCAUGGCCAAGGCUUCCUCAUACCUUAUCUCAGUCUACCCAUUUUCAGGGAAGAAAAUGAAAUAUGCCAACAAGGGAACAAAAAUUAAGUGCAUGGAAAAAAGUUAUACUACAGCAAUAUUCUGUAAAGAAAUCAAAAGGGGCCGGGCGCGAUGGCUCACCCUAUAAUCCCAGCACUUUGGGAGGCCAAGGUAGGAGGAUCACCUGAGGUCAGGAGUUUGAGACCGCUCUGGCCAACAUGGUGAAACCCCAUUCUCUACUAAAAAUACAAAAACUAGGCCAGGCGCGGUAGCUCACGCCUGUAAUCCUAGCACUUUGGGAGGCCAAGGCGGGCGGACCACAAGGUCAAGAGAUCAAGACUAUCCUGGCCAACAUGGUGAAACCCUGUCUCUACUAAAAAUACCAAAAAAAUCAGCUGGGCGUGGUGGCACGUGCCUGUAGUCAGAGCAGCUCGGGAGGUUGAGGCAGUAGAAUUGCCUGAACCCGGGAGACAGAGGUUGCAGUGAGCCAAGAUCACACCACUGCACUCCAGCCUGGCAACAGAGAGAGACUGUCUCAAAAAAAAAAAAAAAAAAAAAAA